GAAUUUUAUAUAAAUUUAUUUGGUUUAAGUUAUGUUUGUUUGGAAUAAAAAAUUAUAUUUAAUUGGGAGGAUUUUUAAAUUAUAAAAACUUUAGAAUUUAAAUUACAUUAAUUAAUGGAUAAAUAAUUUAAUGAGGGAUAAAUUAAGUUAAUAAAGAAAUAAUUACCUUAGGGAUAACAGCGUAAUAUUUUUAAAUAGAUCAUAUAGAUAAAAAUGAUUGC
rnacentral:rRNA from 1 species